GAGACGAUGGUCACGUGGAAGCACAAUCGGGAAGGCACUUUUCUUGCCGAUAAACUCACAGACAUCGAUUCGGCUAUGAACUCGCAUUACGCCAUUGUCGUCAAGGAAUGGACUGACUUUCGUAAGGAUUGCCAUUUCUUCAGAGUAAACUUCGUUUUGUGCUCUUCUAUAGUGAAAGUUUUCAGCUGUUGCUAACUCGUGCAUCCGAAUCGUAUCACCAGCGCCGUUAUGCGUCGCAGAUGCUUCCACUUGGAGUGAUCUUCUGGUCGCAAAAUAUCGUUGAAAUCAAUUGUAUGAUGGAGGAGGUUUUGGCGGAUUUCUUCCACUGUGACAUGGUCGGAUGUUGGCAUCUUUGGCCACUCACAUUCAUGCUCCCAUAAAAAGGAAGAACCAUUGAACCAGCGGCUGUUAGCAUCGAAAUCCGGUUGUCGCUGCCACUUGAAUUUCGCUUGUACGAAAGGCUACAAAUUGGGAGUAUCGACGAUUGUCUGAAUUGAGCCAACAUAUGACAUCCCGUGCAUCCGUCCAGAAAUAACGUCGUUUGAUGUCCAGUGAAUGCCCUUGCUCGAUACUUUUGGCUAAUCGAACACCGAUGACUGCUGCUUGAAGCUCCAGACGUGGGAUCGAGACAAAUUUGAUGGGAGCUACGCGUGUUUUAGCCCCAAUUAAAGCACAUUUUAUCACACCAUCCUGUACAAAACGAAAGUACGAAACUGCAGCAUAUCCCAAUUCGCUCGCAUCUACGAAGGUGUGUAGUUCGACGGCAUGUUGAUCUCCACACGACGAAGUAUGA